rnacentral:lncRNA from 1 species
GAAGAAGGAGACACAUUCUUUUUUCAGCCAAGACCACUUAAAAACCUUGUGCUGGUUGAUGAGUUGGACAGCCUCUCUCCCAUUCUGUUUUGCCAGAUAGCUGAUCUGGCCAAUGAAGAUACUCCACAGUUGUAUGUGGCCUGUGGUAGGGGACCCCGAUCAUCUCUGAGAGUCCUAAGACAUGGACUUGAGGUGUCAGAAAUGGCUGUUUCUGAGCUACCUGGUAACCCCAACGCUGUCUGGACAGUGCGUCGACACAUUGAAGGUGGCUGGUGAAGGUGCUGAUCACCACAGAUGAGUUUGAUGCCUACAUCAUUGUGUCUUUCGUGAAUGCCACCCUAGUGUUGUCCAUUGGAGAAACUGUAGAAGAAGUGACUGACUCUGGGUUCCUGGGGACCACCCCGACCUUGUCCUGCUCCUUAUUAGGAGAUGAUGCCUUGGUGCAGGUCUAUCCAGAUGGCAUUCGGCACAUACGAGCAGACAAGAGAGUCAAUGAGUGGAAGACCCCUGGAAAGAAAACAAUUGUGAAGUGUGCAGUGAACCAGCGACAAGUGGUGAUUGCCCUGACAGGAGGAGAGCUGGUCUAUUUCGAGAUGGAUCCUUCAGGACAGCUGAAUGAGUACACAGAAC